AACGCACCUUGCGCUCCUUGGUAUUCUGAGGAGCACGCCUGUUUGAGUGUCAUGAAAUUCUCAACCUUAUAUGCCCUUGUUAUGGGGGUUCUGUAAAGUUGGACUUGGAGGUGUAUUGUCAGCUUGCCCUCUGCGAGUUGGCUCCUCUCAAAUGCAUUAGCUUUAGUUCCUUUGUGGAUCGGCUUUUGGUGUGAUAGUUGUGUCUACGCCGUGACCGUGAAGCGUUUAUGGCAUAAGCUUAUAAACUCCAACGCCUCUUUCCCAUUCUUUGGGGUAGCGUUCUCUUGACAAUCUGACCUCAAAUCAGGUGGGAUUACCCGCUGAACUUAA
rnacentral:misc_RNA from 1 species